AUCAAUGUAGAUAUCAUUAAUAAAAAUGAGAAGCUUUCAAAAGCUUGUGGAAAGUUCUGGUUCAUCUGCAUUUUGCAUCAUUUCUUUGGUUAUAUUAGACUCAAUAGAUUGCACAAACAAAUAUGACUUUUUUACUGAUAACAAUUCUGGAUUUAAACAAGAAUUAGAAUACAAGAACACAUUCACAAGCCUAAGCCCUAACAGAAAUUUCCUCUCUCAAAUUCAUAACAAGAAGAGUGGUUUCUAAAUUGGUACAUCGCACUAUCGCCCCCCUACAUAACCUUCAUAAUUUUUUACGGGUAAGGCGGGUUUUCUAGAUAUAUAUUCUUUUCCUAUUGAGUUGUGAAUCUCGAAUGCACAUUUUUAAGUCUCGUUUGAAAAUGGAUUUUUUGUGAUAUAAUUGAGCUAGCUUUUCAGGAAAUUAAUUUAUGAUGUGUCACAAACAAACGCGAUGCCAAGUUUCAAAAGCCAAAUCCUUAUCAGUUAUGAUAUAUAUAGGUUUUUUCCAUCCAUUGCGGCUAGCCGAGUUUCAAACAACCAUGUAAAAGGAGCCUCAGUCUCAUCUUGCAAUGAAGCACAUACGAAUAAAAUUUACUAAUAGUGAUUAUUCAAUCCAGUCAAUGGGGCAAAAGACAUAGACAUACUAUACUUGUUAAAAAAAUUAUCACUUUAAAUAAAAUAACCACCAAUAAUUAACACAAUGGGCCAAGUCCAAUAUGCACACAGCAGAUGUUAACAUUUUUGAACCUAAUUCCGGUCCACACAUACUUGGGAUGUUGAUGAUGGUUCAGUCUAAGGAGAAGAGAAGAGAUGGUGGUGAAGAUUGAUUUUGAUGGGAAGUGCUUCUUUAUGCUUGGUUCCGAUAAGCAAAGUGUGAAGAACAGGUAGGUAAGCCAUGCUGAAGCAUAACAAUGUCAUCCCUAACGGACACUUCCGUAAGCAUGGGCAGAACUAUGUAAAGACCUGGUUCAAUCAACCUGCCCGCAAGACAAGAAGACGUAUAGCUCCUCAGAAGAAGGCUGUUAAGAUUUUCCCCACGCCUACUGCUGGUCCUCUCAGAUCUAUGGUUCAUGGACAGAGCUGGCAAAGGAUUUUCUCUUGAAGACUUGAAGAAACCAUGGCUGCACAAGGUUCAACCGCAACCCCAGUCCUCGCAAUUCCAAGGGCUGACCCUGGAUGGAAAUUUUUUAAACCAUUUGACCCAAAUGAUACCAGUCGCUGCGUUUGCAAUUUCUGUUCUAACAUCACAAAGGGCGGAAUUACCAGAAUGAAGAAGCACUUGAUGGGGAAGAAAGGGAACAUUUCUCCUUGUCAUAAGUGUCCAGAAGAGGUUCGAGAUGAAUUGUGGGGAUAUCUGAAGGAAAAGAAGCAAAAGGACAGCGAAGCAAAUGGAAGUGUCAGGCUUGAGCUUCUUGACGAAAUAUGUGAUCGUGGUGAUAGCGAUGAAGAACAUGCCUUUGAUGAAGGACGUUCAGAGAUCGCUGCCAUGGGAGACAAGGGAAAGAAAAAGGUUCUUAAGGGCCAGCUUGAUUUGCAUCUUCGAAAACCAGAAAGUAUUAUGUGGUGACUAAAGGGCUCUAUGACUGUAUUGAUAGGCAACCUUGUGUUGAGAUUAGGAGGAAGAUACUUGACGAGCUGCCACUUUACAAAACUGGUACUUGCAUGUUUGGAGAACCAUUUGCUCUUGAACAAAGGAGCAAGAUUGCACCUGCUCAUUGGUGGAAAAUUUAUGGAUUGUCAACACCAAAUCUGCAAAGGCUAGCUAUCAAGAUCUUAAGCUUGACAUGCGGUGCGUCGGGAUGUGAACGCAAUUGGAGUGUUUUUGAGCAAAUUCACACUAAGAAAAGGAAUAGGCUUGAGCACAAAAGGCUUCAGGAUUUGGUGUUUGUGAAAUACAAUCAAGCACUACUAAGGAGGUAGGUAAGCCAUGGUGAAGCAUAACAAUGUCAUCCCUAACGGACACUUCCGUAAGCAUUGGCAGAACUAUGUGAAGGCCUGGUUCAAUCAACCUGCCCGCAAGACGAAUAGCUCGUGAGAAGAAGGCUGUUAAGAUUUUCCCCAGGCCUACUGCUGGUCCUCUCAGGCCUAUGGUUCAUGGACAGAUCUUGAAGUACAACAUGAAGGUCAGAGCCGGCAUAGGAUUUUCUCUUGAAGACUUGAAGGAUUAAAUUUUUGGAAAAAUAGAUCUAGAUCUCAAGUGGUUGUUUUUUACGAACGAAAACAUCCACAGUUGGUACUGACCCUCACUGCAUGUCAAUGUGCACAAUACGAAUUGCUGUUACCUUCUCAGAUCGUUCCAUUCUUUUUAAGUUUUGGAACACCUCCGGUACAACUUCAUACAUAUGUGAUAGACGACAUCCUCUGCAACGUGCUUUCGUCAAAAUCUACAGAUGCGCGUAUAGGAUCUGGUUGGAGAAAAUUCUGCAAAUUAAUGGAAAUUAGAGGCGGUGACAUAAUUUGUUUUAGGUUUGAAAGAAUAGCAAAUAGAAUUAAUGAAGUUAAGGUGUUGUAUAGAAAUAUUUAGUCAGUUGUUAUUCAUUUCAAAAUUUAAUCAGUUGUUGUUUUGUCUUGGGUA